GACGAACGCUGGCGGCGUGCUUAACACAUGCAAGUCGAACGGAAAGGCCCUGCUUGCAGGGUACUCGAGUGGCGAACGGGUGAGUAACACGUGGGUGAUCUGCCCUGCACUUCGGGAUAAGCCUGGGAAUCUGGGUCUAAUACCGGAUAGGAGCCAUUUUUAGUGUGAUGGUUGGAAAGUUUUUUCGGUGUAGGAUGAGCUCGCGGCCUAUCAGCUUGUUGGUGGGGUAAUGGCCUACCAAGGCGGCGACGGGUAGCCGGCCUGAGAGGGUGGACGGCCACAUUGGGACUGAGAUACGGCCCAGACUCCUACGGGAGGCAGCAGUGGGGAAUAUUGCACAAUGGGCGCAAGCCUGAUGCAGCGACGCCGCGUGGGGGAUGACGGCCUUCGGGUUGUAAACUCCUUUCGCUAGGGACGAAGCUUUUUGUGACGGUACCUAGAUAAGAAGUACCGGCUAACUACGUG
rnacentral:rRNA from 1 species